rnacentral:rRNA from 1 species
UACGUAGGGUGCAAGCGUUGUUCGGAUUCAUUGGGCGUAAAGGGUGCGUAGGCGGCGCGGUAAGUCGGGUGUGAAAUCUCGGAGCUUAACUCCGAAACUGCAUUCGAUACUGCGGUGCUUGAGGACUGGAGAGGAGACUGGAAUUCAUGGUGUAGCAGUGAAAUGCGUAGAGAUCAUGAGGAAGACCAGUGGCGAAGGCGGGUCUCUGGACAGUUCCUGACACUGAGGCACGAAGGCCCAGGGGGAGCAAAACGGG